rnacentral:lncRNA from 1 species
UCAUCUUCUUUAUUUAUGUUUAAAUAAAUGUACUUCGAUUUGAUGUAAGCAUAUAUACUUUUCUUUUGUUGCUAUCAUUUUAGAUGACAAAUCUUGUAACCUGGCCAAAAUUAUGCAAAAUUUAAGAUAUGAUUUUAUCAGCAAAGUGAUUAAUCAAUAAUUAGUGUCUAAUGAAUAAUUAUAAAAAAAUUAAGAAAAAAAUUUAUAAUUUAAGAAAUAUAUUGA